rnacentral:lncRNA from 1 species
CCUGCCCCUUCCCGCUCAAGGUGGGCGGGCGGGCUGUGUGGGCACGCGCAGUCGCCACGUCUCGCCCUCCGGGUCGGGUCCGGGUCAAGUCCCGGUCCGGUUCCGCUCCGGGUGCGGAGGGUGGCUCGGCCUUCCCUGAGGAAGCGGCUGACAGGCUUUCCGGAGCUAAUGAGAGACCUCUGACUAGGGCGAGUUUCGGCACGCACCACCUAGCAGCCGCCCCGCUGCCAUGCCUUCGUAACCUGGAAGCCGAAUUUCCGAAAUCGCCUUCACUCAGCAGUGAGUUAAUUUCUAGUAACCCCACCAAGAAAAGGAAGAAAUUAAAAAGUGCUACCUGUGAUUAUAAACAGAUGCAUGAUGAGUCAAGAAAGUCAAGGAAAAUCUACUGCCAUUUUACUUGAGCAAUGUGAGAAAAUCUUGGACUAUUGUACUCAUAAAUAUUGUUUAUAUUCACUAUAUUUAUUACUCCUAUUUGCUAACCAUUUGAAAUUUUCAGAUAUUCAUGCUAAAGAAGUCAGAAUGGACUUUUC